AGAAAAAUCGCUGCCACCGUACAUUCUGCAAUAUUUGAACUGAAAAGUACAAUUCUUUUAUAAAGCCACCGGCUUUUCGACCUCAAAAUUUUUCGAACGGUGGGAUAUUUUGAAAGGAAGAAUGUUUGUGUUUGGCUCCGGAAAUAGGGUUUAGUAAAAAUACUAGAGAGGUUUUUUCCAUUGACCAUAACCAACCAACCUUUGCAGGACCUAUGAACCGCCUUUGAUUUUGCUUCGACAACCCUAACUUGAUAACGUUACAUACAAUAGGUUGGGCCUUGGUUUAGUGCCGCCAAGAAACAAGGUUACAAAUUAAAGAUAAUAGUACAUAACUUAAUUUAAGAAUUGCAAAGCAUAACACUGGUAAAAUAAAAUAAUUAGUACUGAAACAAAAGAAACAAAAAAUCUCUAGCUAAGCUAUCAUAAAUUUGGAAUGAACCAACUCAGUCCCCGCAUGAGCUUAGGUGAAGCAUGAUAGUAGUAUUCUCUUGAUUGUCCAAAUUUCUGACCAUCUAAGUAGAAAUGAUGAGAAAAAUCACACAUGCUGGUUUUACUACGUACAGCAAUAUAGGAACUAACUCCUAACUCUGCAAAAUAAAUGUAGUUGGCUUCCAACCCUGUGAAAUUACUCACGGACAAGGAAAAAGAACAACCUUGACUAGUUACGAAUAAUAUUUGGUUCCCCAAACUCUGUACCUCGAUAAAGCUCCCGCCAUCCUCCAGAUCGACCUUGUAAACUAA
rnacentral:lncRNA from 1 species